AAAUUUAAAUUUAAUAUUUGAAUCUUAAAUAAAUUUAUUUUUGAAUUUAUAAUUUAAUUCAAAAUAUAAGUUAAAUUUUAAAUUUAAAGUUAUAAUAUAAAAAUUAAAAUUAAAAUUGUGUAAUUAGCUGGUAUUGACACAGCGUCCAUGGCCUAACAUGGUGUUGAGUGGCAUUUUUUGUCAAUUUUAACAACCGUUCUGACGGCAGGAAUUUAAUUGUAAUAAAAUCAAGAGGUUGAGAACUUGAUUAUAAAGGAAAAAAGGAUUGGGGACAAAAGUGAAAAAAGUUGAAAAUGUUAGAGA
rnacentral:lncRNA from 1 species